AAUUUAACACAAAGUCAUGAGGUCUUGAUAAGGAAAACCUGAUCAGGUAAUUUUAAUUAAACGAAAAUGCAAUCUUGUUCUAGUAUUCUACUGGUACUGUGAGAGUACAGCGCACAAUAAUAACUCUACAUCAACCACACAGUGGCGCUACGGUAGUCGUACCGCGUACCAAUACGGUGUACUAAUAACGUAUGCCUACAGUACGCACGUACGUGGUAGCUACGGUACUGAUACGUUUAGUACGACAUACGCUCACCAUACUAGUUCCGUGGAAGUACAUUGUUAUCUGGGAAUCUGUAUAGGUGCAUUUGCAUGCAAGAAUUCUCAGCGUGUCAUUGCUCGCCUCUGACAGCGUGGGAUAAAUACUCGUGCAGUGCCCUCAAGCUGUCGCCGGCUGAAGUAUUAGACGUGAAAAGUGACAGAUUGACAACACAAUUUAUUCUUGCGUGGAUUUUCGUAAUUAUUCCUUUUUAGUUCUGUUACGUGUGACCUAUUCGUGAAACCUCUAAAAAGCUCCGAAAACUAAGAUUAGCGAGGAAUUCUAAUCGUAGAAAGAUAUUUUCCACUCUUUUUGGCAGUGUCAAAUCAUGUGUUUUCCUGCAUAAUUAAGCUAACUUUGACGUUUACUGUAGAGUUGUUUAUUAGCUGCCAAGGGAAAAGGAUAGUUUACGGAGUCUUUUGGAAGUGUGCUAAAACGGACUAAUAAAGUGUACUUUUGGUCGAAUAUCUUUUUAUUUGGAAAUGCCACGCAAGAAUUCUUGCAUGGUGUGUCAUUUCUCGCUUCUGACGUCAAAAUUCAAUAUGGCCGCAGUGACAACCCAGGGGGUCUAUUACGGUUCUCGGAUUGGGUGAAAAUGACGAAAGUGAGUAGCUUUGUCUCUUUCUAACUGUCCCUUUAGUAAGAGACAGAGCCGCUCACUUUCGUCAUUUUCACCCAAUCCGAGAACCGUAAUAGACCCCAAGGAGCCUUAAAAUAAUCACCUUAGCGCUGACGCAUAUAUUUUUUUCGUUUGGAAGAUAACGGUAUCUUUAAACUUAUCGUUUAUAAAAAGAACACCUUGAAAUAUAUUUUGUAUAUUGUACCUACUGUAUAUUGUAUCUGUGUAUGCAUAGUGCAGUAUAAUAAAUUUUAUGUUUAUUACAUUA